GCGGGUGUAGCUCAAUGGUAGAGCCUCAGCCUUCCAAGCUGGUUACGUGGGUUCGAUUCCCAUCAUCCGCU
rfam:Orientia tsutsugamushi Boryong complete genome